rnacentral:rRNA from 1 species
CAUUCCUACGGGACGCAGCAGUGGGGAAUAUUGCACAAUGGGGGAAACCCUGAUGCAGCGACGCCGCGUGAGUGAGGAAGUAUUUCGGUAUGUAAAGCUCUAUCAGCAGGGAAGAAAAUGACGGUACCUGACUAAGAAGCCCCGGCUAACUACGUGCCAGCAGCCGCGGUAAUACGGAGGAUGCGAGCGUUAUCCGGAUUUAUUGGGUUUAAAGGGUGCGCAGGCGGAGGUGCAAGUCAGCGGUCAAAUUGCG